GAUGAACGCUAGCUACAGGCUUAACACAUGCAAGUCGAGGGGAAACGAUAGAGAAAGCUUGCUUUUUCUAGGCGUCGACCGGCGCACGGGUGAGUAACGCGUAUCCAACCUGCCCAUCACUUGGGGAUAACCUUGCGAAAGUAAGACUAAUACCCAAUGAUAUCUCUAGAAGACAUCUGAAAGAGAUUAAAGAUUUAUCGGUGAUGGAUGGGGAUGCGUCUGAUUAGCUUGUUGGCGGGGUAACGGCCCACCAAGGCGACGAUCAGUAGGGGUUCUGAGAGGAAGGUCCCCCACAUUGGAACUGAGACACGGUCCAAAACUCCUACGGGAGGCAGCAGUGAGGAAUAUUGGUCAAUGGACGAGAGUCUGAACCAGCCAAGUAGCGUGAAGGAUGAAGGUCCUACGGAUUGUAAACUUCUUUUAUUACGGGAAUAAAGUUACUACGUGUAGGAUUUGUUAUGUA
rnacentral:rRNA from 1 species